rnacentral:rRNA from 1 species
AUUGAACGCUGGCGGCAUGCUUUACACAUGCAAGUCGAACGGUAACAGGCCUUCGGGUGCUGACGAGUGGCGAACGGGUGAGUAAUGCAUCGGAACGUGCCCAGAGGUGGGGGAUAACGCAGCGAAAGCUGUGCUAAUACCGCAUGUGAUCUGAGGAUGAAAGCGGGGGACCAGGCAGCAAUGUUUGGCCUCGCGCCUUUGGAGCGGCCGAUGUCAGAUUAGGUAGUUGGUGGGGUAAAGGCCUACCAAACCGACGAUCUGUAGCUGGUCUGAGAGGACGACGAGCCACACUGGGACUGAGACACGGCCCAGACUCCUACGGGAGGCAGCAGUGGGGAAGUUUGGACAAUGGGCGCAAGCCUGAUCCAGCAAUGCCGCGUGCGGGAAGAAGGCCUUCGGGUUGUAAACCGCUUUUGUACGGAACGAAAAGGCUCUGGCUAAUACCUGGGGCUGAUGACGGUACCGUAAGAAUAAGCACCGGCUAACUACGUG